AUUGAACGCUGGCGGAAUGCUUUACACAUGCAAGUCGAACGGCAGCACGGACUUCGGUCUGGUGGCGGGUGGCGAACGGGUGAGUAAUGUAUCGGAACGUGCCCAGUCGUGGGGGAUAACGUAGUGAAAAUUACGCUAAUACCGCAUACGAUCUAUGGAUGAAAGCGGGGGAUCGCAAGGCCUCGCGCGAUUGGAGCGGCCGAUAUCAGAUUAGGUAUGUGGUGGGGUAAAGGCCCACCAAGCCAACGAUCUGUAGCUGGUCUGAGAGGACGACCAGCCACACUGGAACUGAGACACGGUCCAGACUCCUACGGGAGGCAGCAGUGGGGAAUUUUGGACAAUGGGCGAAAGCCUGAUCCAGCCAUUCCGCGUGCAGGAUGAAGGCCCUCGGGUUGUAAACUGCUUUUGUACAGAACGAAAAGGUUUCUACUAAUACUAGGAGCUCAUGACGGUACUGUAAGAAUAAGCACCGGCUAACUACGUGCCAGCCGCCGCAGUAA
rnacentral:rRNA from 1 species